UACAGAGGGUGCGAGCGUUAAUCGGAAUUACUGGGCGUAAAGCGCGCGUAGGCGGCUUUGCAAGUCGGGUGUGAAAUCCCCAGGCUUAACCUGGGAACUGCAUUCGAGACUGCAUUGCUAGAGUAUAGGAGAGGGAAGUGGAAUUUCCGGUGUAGCGGUGAAAUGCGUAGAUAUCGGAAGGAACAUCAGUGGCGAAAGCGACUUCCUGGACCAAUACUGACGCUCAUGUGCGAAAGCGUGGGGAGCAAACAGG
rnacentral:rRNA from 1 species